UUAAACUGCUUCCUAUUUGUAUGAAAACAAUAGGUAUUGUAAUCAUUUUUAUGAGAUUGUUAAAAACAAGCUUGUUGCGAACUGCCCGCUGAAAGUCAACGAGAAGUUAGUUUCAUUUAAUGAAAUAUUAUUUUUAAACUAUGUCGGUGACUAGAAUAAGACCAGAAGUGCCGGAAGAACUUCCAAAACUUUUGCAUGAUUUUAGUUAUGCAGUCAUAAAAAAUAACCCAACCGAUAUCAUUAGUUUUGCUGCAGACUUUUUCCAGCAAUUGUAUGAUGAAAGAGAAGGACAAUCAACUGAUAAACCAAAAGGUUCCCAAGAAAACUUGCAGAUGAAGGAUCAAAAUGAUUAAUCAAAAAAGAUAAUAUCAACAAAUAAAGAUAAAGUAAUACUCCAAAAUUGUUAAACAAAUAAAGAUGUAAGGAAAUGGAUUUGUCCGAAAAUAAAAUUAUUAUUAUUCCACUUUAUUAUCAAAUUACAUACAA